CUGUGUUGAAUUUUGAUAAAGCUGGUACACUGCCUUCAAAUCUGGCUGUAUCUGGGAACAAAAAUAACAGUUGCAGAAAUUUGGGGUUUUUGGAGGAGUGAAGUUGGGUAGAAGCUUUCGGGCUUCGGUGGUCUUCUUGGUUAUAAUGGUUCUCCACAUCGUGGCUAUUUUAUUGUUUACUAGAGGUAAUCUCCUUCUCAAUCAGGCCGAACUUUCCCAAUAUAGUCGAUGCUCCGAUGUUUUCGAGUCUCCUUGUUUCCUCCUUAUGAUCACAAUGUUAACAACUCCUGUGGAGCAAUGGCUAACAUGACGAAACCUGCAGUUGACGGGGCUCGUUGUAAUUGUUCUCGAUACUCGCAGGUAUUCUUCAUAUUGCUCUCUGGAGAAGUAAAUUUAGCCUGAUUAAUCAUUAAAUCAAAACUCUUUUACUAUAAAACAAUAUCCAUACCACAUUUUAAAAAUCCUGAUUUAUAGGUUUGAUUUUGUUACUCCAAGUACCUUCUAUGCAGGCAAGGACUUCGACUUCAUUGUGAAUCAGUUUGCUUUUGCAUUUUCACAUGUCCCGUGAUACGCAUUUUCCUACAGAACUAUGUUUUUUUAAUGUUCUAUAUUCGAGUAGCUUUGCCAAACCAUUUACCAUUUAUUCCAUUUUUAUUGAUAAGAAUUUCCACAAGUGAAACCAUGGAUGAAUAAGCUAUAUUCAGUUACACUGUCUAAAGGUGAUGAUCUUAUGUUUUAUCAUUUUAUUUUUGAAAUUUUAUUAAGUGACUUGAGGGUCUUUCUAGAGUUGGUUAAUAGGUCACUCUAUUCCCUCAUUAGACUAAACAAAGUUGCAUUGAUGUCUGUGUUUUAUGGUCUAGUUUUUGUACACUUAGCUGGAUAUUAGAUAUUUGAGGAAUUUUAAAUUGACCUUCUUACAAUGUGGAAACUGCAAAAUAGCCUUACACUUUGAUUCUUUGUUUAAAAGGCCUUGUUUUUAUGUAAAUAUCUUAACUAUCCAUACUAGAAGCGACACUAAUUGAGUCAAAUUGACCCUAACCUGUUAAAAUCAACAUAUUUCUAUAUUGACCCCAAAACAGGUCGAAAUCAACACUUGUUUGCUACCUAAACCAAUACAAAUCAACAUAUUUCUAGUAGUACUUCCUAUCAACCUGCAUUGAAGGUUAAGUUUGUUAUUUUUGAUAUCUCUAUCCUUAAAUUUUAUUUCCAUCAUUAAUUAGUCAUUCUACUGCUGUUGGGGCAGAGAAAUUUAAUAAUAUCUUCUAAUUGUUGUGCUAAUGGAAAUAUCUCUUUUUCACUCUUGAAUUUUUGCCCUUCUAAAGUAUUGUCUAACUUUUUAGGAUGAGAAUUUACUAUUCAAAACCCAUCACCCUGCCAGUUGGCAAAGAAAAGAAAGAAACACAAAGUAUUCUUGUUCAUAUUGAAUUUCAGGUACUUAAUUAGCAUGCUUGCAUUUGUGCGAUCUUCCAUCCUAUCUAUUGUGAAUACAAGCUUGUAAAUUUAAGAAAGACAGAGAAGUCAGAUUUGUUAUUGAAGCCAUACAUUCUAUGUUAAGGUGCUACAACUUUGUCGCAAGCAAAAGUUCAUUCUUGAACAUUUAAAUUCACCGAGAAUUUCGAGGAAAUUAUGUAUAUUACAUUAUUGAAUUGACAAGAAUAAUCUAAACUACAUGUGGAUUAAGUUUUGUUGAAGUUUCCUUUUUAAGCAAAUUGGAUGUUGCAAUUUUUAUUGAUGCAUUAGAGUUUUAUUAUAGUAUUAGGUGCAAAAGCAUAUUUUUAAAUUAUGAUGCACCGACAAGGACACGUGUCUCCGAAACGAUACGUAUUGGAUAUGUUGAUAUCCGAUUUUUCAAAAAGUAGCGAUACUAUACAUCAC
rnacentral:lncRNA from 1 species